AUUGAACGCUGGCGGCAGGCUUAACACAUGCAAGUCGAGCGAGCGGCGGACGGGUGAGUAAUGUCUGGGAACCUGCCUGCUGUCGGGGGAUAACUACUGGACACGGUAGCUACUACCGCAUACCAUCUGAUGUGCCCAGAUGGGAUUAGCUAGUUGGUGGGGUAAUUGCUCACCUAGGCGACGAUCCCUAGCUGGGCUGAGAGGAUGCCCAGCCACACUGGAACUGAGACAAGGUCCAGACGACGACGGGAGGCAGGAGGGGGGAAUAGUGCACAAUGGGCGGAAGCCUGAUGCAGCCAUGCCGAGUGGGGGAAGAAGGCCUUCGGGUUGUAAAGCACUUUCAGCGAGGAGGCGGUACUAGAAGAAGAAGCACCGGCUAACUCCGUGCCAGCAGCCGCGGUAAUAC
rnacentral:rRNA from 1 species